CCACAGCAGGCCAGCAAGGCCGAGGAGAAUGGUUCCAACAGCUUCAUGCACUCCAUGGUCCCACAGCUGGAGUGGCAGAUGGAGACCACCCAGAGCCUGGUGGACUCCUAUGUGGCCAUUGUCAACAAGACCGUGUGGGACCUCAUGGUUGGUCUCACACCCAAGACCAUCAUGCACCUCAUGAUCAACAACGUGCGUGCACCGCCUCAUGGGGGCAGGGGAACAAGGAGUUUAUCUUCUCGGAGCUGCUGGCCAACCUGUACUUGCAUGGGGACAAGAACAUGCUGAUGGAGGAGUCGGCAGAGCAGGCACAGC
rnacentral:lncRNA from 1 species